AACCUGGUUGAUCCUGCCAGUAGUCAUACGCUUGUCUCAAAGAUUAAGCCAUGCAUGUCUAAGUAUAAGUAUUAUACAGCGAAACUGCGAAUGGCUCAUUAAAACAGUUAUGGUUUAUUUGAUAAUCGAAUUUUACAUGGAUAACCGUGGUAAUUCUAGAGCUAAUACAUGCUGGUGUGCCUGACUUUUCGGAAGGGCGGUAUUUAUUAGAUAACGAACCAAUAUUCCUCUGGUCUAUUGUGGUGAAUCAUAAUAACUGAUCGAAUCGCAAAGCCUUUGGCUGCGAUAUGUCAUUCAAGUUUCUGCCCCAUCAGCUUUCGAUGGUAGUGUAUUGGACUACCAUGGCUUUUACGGGUAACGGAGAAUUAGGGUUCGAUUCCGGAGAGGGAGCCUGAGAAACGGCUACCACAUCUAAGGAAGGCAGCAGGCGCGUAAAUUACCCAAUCCUAAUUCAGGGAGGUAGUGACAAGAAAUAACGGGUCGGGGCUAUGCCCCGGGACUGCAAUGAGAUGAAUUUACACCCCUUUUCGAGUAACAAUUGGAGGGCAAGUCUGGUGCCAGCAGCCGCGGUAAUUCCAGCUCCAAUAGCGUAUAUUAAAGUUGUUGCAGUUAAAAAGCUCGUAGUUGGAUUUCUGGUUGGCUAGUUUCUGCCUCCUUGUGGAUGCGCAGUGGUAGCCUACCAUCCUUCUGUUAACCCAGCAGCUCUUCACGGGGCUACUGCGGGGCUCAGAUAUUUUACCUUGAGAAAAUUAGAGUGUUUCAGGCAGGCUAGCGCCGGAAUACAUUAGCAUGGAAUAAUA
rnacentral:rRNA from 1 species